rnacentral:rRNA from 1 species
ACGGGUGAGUAAUGUCUGGGAAACUGCCUGAUGGAGGGGGAUAACUACUGGAAACGGUGGCUAAUACCGCAUAACGUCGCAAGACCAAAGAGGGGGACCUUCGGGCCUCUUGCCAUCAGAUGUGCCCAGAUGGGAUUAGCUUGUUGGUGAGGUAACGGCUCACCAAGGCGACGAUCCCUAGCUGGUCUGAGAGGAUGACCAGCCACACUGGAACUGAGACACGGYCCAGACUCCUACGGGAGGCAGCAGUGGGGAAUAUUGCACAAUGGGCGCAAGCCUGAUGCAGCCAUGCCGCGUGUAUGAAGAAGGCCUUCGGGUUGUAAAGUACUUUCAGCGGGGAGGAAGGUGUUGUGGUUAAUAACCGCAGCAAUUGACGUUACCCGCAGAAGAAGCACCGGCUAACUCCGUGCCAGCAGCCGCGGUAAUACGGAGGGUGCAAGCGUUAAUCGGAAUUACUGGGCGUAAAGCGCACGCAGGCGGUCUGUCAAGUCGGAUGUGAAAUCCCCGGGCUCAACCUGGGAACUGCAUUCGAAACUGGCAGGCUUGAGUCUUGUAGAGGGGGGUAGAAUUCCAGGUGUAGCGGUGAAAUGCGUAGAGAUCUGGAGGAAUACCGGUGGCGAAGGCGGCCCCCUGGACAAAGACUGACGCUCAGGUGCGAAAGCGUGGGGAGCAAACAGGAUUAGAUACCCUGGUAGUCCACGCCGUAAACGAUGUCUACUUGGAGGUUGUGCCCUUGAGGCGUGGCUUCCGGAGCUAACGCGUUAAGUAGACCGCCUGGGGAGUACGGCCGCAAGGUUAAAACUCAAAUGAAUUGACGGGGGCCCGCACAAGCGGUGGAGCAUGUGGUUUAAUUCGAUGCAACGCGAAGAACCUUACCUGGUCUUGACAUCCACAGAAGAAUCCAGAGAUGGAUUUGUGCCUUCGGGAACUGUGAGACAGGUGCUGCAUGGCUGUCGUCAGCUCGUGUUGUGAAAUGUUGGGUUAAGUCCCGCAACGAGCGCAACCCUUAUCCUUUGUUGCCAGCGGUUAGGCCGGGAACUCAAAGGAGACUGCCAGUGAUAAACUGGAGGAAGGUGGGGAUGACGUCAAGUCAUCAUGGCCCUUACGACCAGGGCUACACACGUGCUACAAUGGCGCAUACAAAGAGAAGCGACCUCGCGAGAGCAAGCGGACCUCAUAAAGUGCGUCGUAGUCCGGAUUGGAGUCUGCAACUCGACUCCAUGAAGUCGGAAUCGCUAGUAAUCGUGGAUCAGAAUGCCACGGUGAAUACGUUCCCGGGCCUUGUACACACCGCCCGUCACACCAUGGGAGUGGGUUGCAAAAGAAGUAGGUAGCUUAACCUUCGGGAGGGCGCUUACCACUUUGUGAUUCAUGACUGGGGUGAAGUCGUAACAAGGUAACCGUAGGGGAACCUGCGGUUGGAUCACCUCCUUACCUUAAAGAA